rnacentral:tRNA from 1 species
GGGUGCAUAGCUCAGCUGGUUAGAGCAGUCCCCUCUUAAGGGAAAGGUCCUGGGUUCGAAUCCCAGUGCGCCUACCA